UCUGUUCAUACCAAAACUGUCUGCCUAGCAUGUAGUGAAAGUAGCCAGGACUGCAUUCAAGGUUUUCACCUUUCAGUUCCCUGUUUGCCUCUGACAAAUACAUGGAAGCUGACUUUUCCUCUACCCCAUUGCAGCCAGCACUGCAGCUUGUGUAUGGAAGAGAGAGAUGCUGUUCCUUUGCAGGAGAUGCUGAGGCUGUGCACAGUUACAGUUUGCCUCUACAUUAUGAAGACUACUGUGAGAAGAGUUUUAGUUUUGCUGUGAGAAUUCAUCUACUUCUGCCCCUCUUUCCUCAUCUGAAGUCAGUGAAGUGACGGUUCAGACUUGUCCGAUUACUUAAUCCAAAACUGCAUCCUACUCUCAGCUAGUGCCGAGGUGAUCCAGCAGGCAAGAG
rnacentral:lncRNA from 1 species